rnacentral:lncRNA from 10 species
GUGGCUGUGUCAAAUACAAGAAUCGCAGAAACUAGCUUUCUCCAUUACCUGCUUUUUGUGGCUGCAGGAAACCCAGUCAUGGAAAGUCUUCCUUUCCCUCAAGUUCUGACAAAUGCUGAGAUUAUUAAGGCAGCUCUCAGGGCACAAACAGUACAUUUAGAAAAAGACAGGACUAGAAAACAGUGAAGUACACUUUUUGUUUAAUUCCAUGCAUUUGUUUGCUUUGAUAGUCAUUCUUGUUCCCAUUGCCGUUCAAUACAGAGAGGGAGCCGGCAUCAGAAAACAACACUGGGAGCUGGGGACUGACAGUACAGGAGACCAGAGGGGAGCCAGGAAGUGGUCAGCAGGCAGAAAGGAAAUGAGCUACAAGGAAAUGGCACUUGAGUAUGAAAGAUCAACACGUUGGGUCAAGGUAGCACAUUUGCCAAGGUAAUGACAGUGACAGCACUAAAAAGGGACGUAUUUGCCAAAAACAAGAUUUGACACUAUCUGUAAACCUCACUACCAACUGCUGCUUAAACAUUUAAAAAUGAAACCAGCUUCCACAUACACAGGUUUGUUUGUUUGUUUGUUUGUCUGUUUUUCCCUCCUAGAGGAAGCACAUGCCCUUGAAGACAUUGGGUGCAAGUAUCUGGUCACCAGACUUUUCUAGGUCAUUUCCGUAAGCCACCUGGACAAGCUGGUUGAAGUGAAUAUGGUCUGUUCACAAGUUGCCUGGAAUUGCUUUUCUUUUGCUGUUCUUUGUGUUCUAAAAUGUUCAAUGUCUUGCUCUGGCUCUUCUUUAGUCACUUAUGGCCAAAAGACCUGGUCCCCUGUUCAAGCAGCAAUAAUACCUCCCGGCCCCACAAAUUCCCAAGGAUGUUGCUCUUAAAUUCCACUUAUUUCUUUUUUUCUGUUCUU